UCAUUCUUGUGGCCCUCCUGUGGACGCGCUCCAGCCUGUCCGUGUCUCAGCUGCCCUGAGGACUCCGCAUCCGGACGCAGUGCCUCAGCGGGCAGUCGCUCAAGGCGCACCACAGCGCGGCGGCCACCUGGUGGCACCCGUGCUGCGCCCUCGGCGGCCGCGGGCGGAGUGAGGCGGGGCUGCCCCGGCGGCCAUGGCACAGCCGUCGCACCGUCGCAGCUGCUGGGGGCUGCUUGUCGGCGCUUGCUGUGUCGAGAGGGGCCUUGCCUCUCCCAGAACGGCCCGGAGGAGAGCGCAGUUCGCGCAAGAGGCGAAAGGGGGCAGUAAGGCCCCGUGGAGAUUCUGUGAACAGGAGAUUCCAGCUGGAGCGCUGAGCUUGGGUCUGAACUAGUAGAGACAGAAAGUGCUAUCCCUUGGAACCCAGAAUGCCUUCUGGCUUUGAAGCCCAGUGUCCCUGGGGUGGCUUCUGUCCAUACUGUUCAAACCUAUGCGUGAGUCUAGCUAGGAGUCCAGCUGCGGUCCCUAGGCACAGAGCUGGUGAUAGUCCACUGGGGCACCACCAUCAUACGGAUGCAUCAGUUACAGCAACAAAGACACUUUAUAGAUACGGUCAGCUGGAGUCCUGCCUCAGUGCCACAACUACCAGUUAGAAUACCCCUUUCUUCACAGCCUCUCUCUGGGUAUAACUGGAAGAUAAAUCAGACUGCAGUCUCAGUACAUCUUGCCCCUGAAUCACAGAAAAUAAUUUCAGCAGACCCUGGAUUAUGCCCUCAUUUUGCUGUUCAGUGGCUAUGGACUAUUUUAUGUCUUUCAGGGAAAAGAACACUCUUCUGCAUUUCAUGUAUAUAAAAGGUAUUACUGAAAGCCAGUCCUGGCCUUCUAGGCAGUAUUUGAAAACAGAAAUCUGCAGCAUGACCUGAGACCAGGCUAAACUCAUACUUAUUAAGCAAAUGCUUCUCCUUCUUGGCUGCUUUAAUGAAGGGGAGGAGGCCUUUUCUUCUCCAGAGCAAUUCAGCUUCUCCCUUACUGUGAAUUAACCUCUGAGAAAAUGUUUGGAGCAGAGGAAAACCUUAUCUCAGGUGUUCUGCUCUUAAAACAGGAAAAGUCUACUUCCAACUAGAAAAACUCAGCUGCUUAUCCCACUGCACAAACACAAAUAAAAGCAAAACUGCAGAUGGAAACUUAAGAACUGCAAAAGGAGCUAUUUACACUAUCUUUCACGCUGUGAGGUAGAGCAAAUGACUGAAAUGAUUUUCUUAUGUACAUUUAUUUAAUUUCCUGAUUCAAAGAAAAGAUUAUGACAAUAAAUUCCAGGAGGUGUUAAAUUGUGUUUUUCCCUGCUGAUUGUCAUAGUACUGCACCUUAUGUGAAUAGGUUGGGGUACAAG